rnacentral:lncRNA from 1 species
CAUUCCAAUAGCUGCUGUAACAAAUCAAUCUGGCCAUAACGAUGGCGGCGAGAAUGGUUUUGUCAGUAGUUUUCAUCUUCAUCUUCUCCCUCAUUGUCCAUUCUCCGACCACGGAAGCAAUCCGAAUCAGUAAAAAGUUCUUCGUUAUUAUAUUUCCCGCUACAGCUAGUCCACCACCACCUCCACCUAGUCCAUCACCACCUCCACCUAGUCCACCUCCACCUAGUCCACCUCCACCUUGUCGAUCCAAUGGAACAACGAUUAUUGUAAUCAACCCACCACCGGUACAAAUCAUUAUCAAUCCAUCAUCACCACCUCCACCAGCAGCUGGAAGUCUUACCGCGCCAAUUAUUUCAGAACCACCACCACUGGAAUCAAACCCACCAUUCUUCUUCAUUCCACCCGCCAAUAAUCCAUCUUUAAAGGAAUCAAAGAAAAGGCAUAUCGCAAACGCGCCGCCAAAAAACUAGCUAUUUGCUGCGCACUCUACGUACACCUGCAGUCAGUAGACACGUCAAGAAUCCCCCAACAUGUAAUUGAAUAAUAAUGUCGAUGAAAAACAUUGCAUUUUAAUAUUUUAAAAUAUCCUUUUUUAAUGUGAAUUUAAUAAAAAGAAAAUUUCUUUCGUGGUAACGUGGUU